rnacentral:rRNA from 2 species
GACGAACCGUGCAAACGUUAUUCGGAAUCAUUGGGCUUAAAGGGCGCGUAGGCGGCUUUGUAAGUUGAAGGUGAAAUACCAGCGGCUCAACCGUGGAAUGGCCUUCGAAACUGCAAUGGCUUGAGGGAGCUAGGGGCAUGUGGAACUUCCGGUGGAGCGGUGAAAUGUGUUGAUAUCGGAGGGAACGCCAGUGGCGAAAGCGGCAUGCUGGAGCUUUUUCUGACGCUGAGGCGCGAAAGCCAGGGGAGCGAACGGG